GAGAGAGACAUGCGCGCAUAUCAAUAAGCGGAGGAAAAGAAACUAACAAGGAUUCCCUUAGUAACGGCGAGUGAAGCGGGAAGAGCUCAAAUUUGAAAUCUUCAAGGUUUUACCUUGACGAAUUGUAGUUUAAAGAAGUGUUUUUCUGCUGAAGUUUUGGUAAAAGUUCUUUGGAAUAGGACAUCAUAGAGGGUGAGAAUCCCGUAUUUGACCAUUAUUUUCAGCUUUGUGAUACACUUUCAAAGAGUCGGAUUGUUUGGGAAUGCAGUCCAAAAUGGGUGGUAAAUUUCAUCUAAAGCUAAAUAUUGGCGAGAGACCGAUAGCGAACAAGUCACCGUGAGGGAAAGAUGAAAAGAACUUUGAAAAGAGAGUUAAACAGUACGUGAAAUUGUCAAAAGGGAAGCGUUUGACACCAGUGUUGUUUUCUCGAAAAUCAAUUAAAUAUGGCUCGAUUUUGUAUUGUUGAGACCUUAAAAGCUCACUGUACAUUUUUCGUGUCUUUUUUAAUGCACUUUUCGUUUAACAAGUCGACAUCAGUUUCUUUUGUUGUAAAAGGGUCAUUGGAAGGUGGCCUUUCUUUUCGGAGAAAGUGUUUAUAGCCUUUGGCCUCUGCAAUCGGAAGAGACUGAGGUCUGCAGCGUAGACUCUUCGGGGUUAGAUACAUUUGUGCUAAGUUAUAGCUUUUUAUAGGACAACUUGUUGACUAUAAUUAGUCUUGUAGCUUACUCGCUUAUGCUAUUUUACCUACGCUUAGGAUGUUGAGUCGUAGAGCACGCAG
rnacentral:rRNA from 1 species